AAAUAAGAAGCAUUAAUUAUGCAUUUAAUUUCGACUUAAAAUAUGAGUUAAAAUACUCCUUAUUUA
rnacentral:tRNA from 1 species